CUCAGCCUCAUUCUUCUCUCUGGCUCUCUGUCCCCCUGAGUUUGGUGCUGAGUGCGGUAAUGACCGCAGCGUGUAGAGCAGGAAGCUGAUCAGCUGGAAUAGAGCACAGGAAGGUGACAGGAAAGCGAAGUCUUGAGUCGGACAUCAGAGGGGAGAGAUCACGUGUGACUGGGGACCAUGACGACAGAGGUGGGAUCUGAAACAGAGGUGAAAAAAGAGCCGGAGAAGGCAGAGGAGCAGCCUGCAGAACCUGAACGAUCAGCCAUCAACCAGACAGACGAGGUCAAGGUCGUUGAGGCCGCCGAGCAGUCCAACGAAAGCCCCGCUCUGGCCACAGACUCAGCAGAGGCAAAGGAGAACCAGGAGGCCCAGCCUGCCGACAACGCCACAGGACCGGAGGGAGAGGAGCCCCCAGCCUCACCACCAGCUUCAGAGAAGAAAGGCAUCUCCAGGUUCCUCCCUCCAUGGCUUAAGAGGCAGAAGUCUCAGAGUGUGGUGGGACCCAAAGAGAGCCAGGUGACACCCAAGGAAGAGGGAGGUGUGGUUCUGGUGAACGGGGAGGGUGAAAAGGCGGAGCAGGCCAAAGCAGAGCAGACAUCAUCGACCACAACAGCUGAGCCACAGGUUGAAGAAGAGCAAGUGAACGGCGAGGCGGAGCCAGAACAGAAAGAGGAAGUGAAUUCAGAGGAACACGCGGAGAAUCAUUCCACUGGCAGUGCAGAAACUCAGCCUGCUAAGGAGGAGAAGGCAUCAGAGAAAUCUCAGGAGAAGAGUGCAGCGGAGGAGGAGAAAAAAGAAACAGAGGAAGGAGGAGAGAAGAAAGACCAGGAAGAGAGCUUGAAGCCCGAGGGAGGGCGUUAUUUUAUCAAAUCGCCUCUGAAACUGACCAAGAAGGUGAAGAUGGUGAUGUGUCAUGUGAUCAUGCUGGAUGGAAGCCAGUUCCCCUGUGAGGUGGAGAAACGGGCCAAAGGCCAGUACCUGUUUUUCAAAGUGUGUGAAGCCCUGAACCUACUGGAGAAGGACUACUUUGGGUUGAGUUACAAAAACGCUGACCAGAUGUGCUGGCUGGACCCUACAAAGGAGAUCAAACGUCAGAUCUGCAAUCCCUCCUGGCAGUUAGCGUUCAAUGUCAAGUUCUACCCUCCUGAUCCGUCCCAGCUGACCGAGGAUAUUACCAGAUAUCUCCUGUGCCUUCAGCUGCGGCAGGACAUAGUUUCGGGGCGUCUGCCCUGCUCCUUCGUCACCCACUCUCUGCUGGGUUCCUACUCCCUGCAGGCCGAGCUGGGAGAUCACGACCCCGAUGAGCAACGCCUCGACUACAUCAGCGACUUCCAGUUUGCCCCCUCACAGACUAAGGAGAUGGAAGAGAAGGUGGUGGAGCUCCACAAAACUCACAGGGGGAUGACUCCUGCUCAAGCAGAUACCCAGUUCUUAGAAAACGCCAAGAAGUUGUCGAUGUAUGGUGUCGAUCUCCACCAUGCCAAGGACUCUGAGGGAGUGGACAUCAUGUUGGGAGUGUGUGCCAAUGGCCUGCUGAUCUACAAAGACCGACUCCGGAUAAACCGCUUUGCCUGGCCAAAAAUCCUCAAGAUCUCCUACAAACGUAGCAACUUCUAUAUCAAAAUCAGGCCGGGAGAGACGGAGCAGUUUGAGAGCACCGUGGGCUUCAAGCUGCCCAACCACCGCUCUGCCAAGAGGGUCUGGAAGGUCUGCGUGGAGAAUCACACCUUCUUCAGGUUGAUGACUCAAGAAGCGCCCACUAAAGCCAAGUUCCUCACACUGGGCUCUAAAUUCCGCUACAGUGGGCGGACCCAGGCCCAAACACGACAGGCCAGCACCCUCAUCGACAGGCCGGCACCCUACUUCGAGCGCACCUCCAGCAAGCGCAUCUCACGAAGCCUGGAUGGAGCGCCAGUGAUCAACAUGAUCGAGGCCCAGGACUCGGCCCCCACCUCUGUGGGGAACGGCAGGGAGCCUGGCCUGGAACUCUCCUCUGACUCCUCCAAGGUAGAGGAGGAGCCUAGCGAAAGGGCGGCAGCCACACCUACUGAAGGCACUGAGAUGAAAAGAGAUGAGCCAGACUCCUCCCAGCAGAGCGGAAAGUUGAGAGUGCAGGGGGAAAAUAUAUAUGUCAGACAUAGCAAUUUAAUGUUGGAGGACCUGGAUAAGACUCAAGAGGAUGUUUUGAAACAUCAGGCUAGCACUAGUGAGUUAAAGCGCAGUUUUAUGGAGGCCACCCCUGAGCCGCGUCCCAGUCAAUGGGAAAAGCGCCUCACUGCCAGCCCGGCUACCAGCCUGCGUCAGCAGGCCCAAGGGAGGAGCCCCCCACCCACAACCCAGGAGCCUCUCUCUGACCUCACAGUGGACACGGUCUCUAAGAGUUCAGAUGACAAACAGAAAUCAGACGAGACAACGUUGCAGGCAGCAGAGGUUGAGAUAGAAGAGACGGUAGUCGUCGAGAAGAUCAGGGUGGCACCCAAAGGCUCUGUCACCAUCACCACCCCCGAGGUGGUGGUCACCCCUGUCGCCGUGGAGACAGAGGUCGAGAAGCCCGAAGAGGAAGUGAUAGAGGAAGUGAUAGAGGAAGUUAAGGAGGAGCAGAAGAGACCUGUGAGCGUGUCCUCAGACAGCCACAGUGAGAGCGAGGAAGAGGCAGGGGAGUACCACCCCCAGGUCACUGUCAGCACCUCAGUGGAACAGAUCAAAGAAGAGCCUGAGGAAGAGGAGAAGGAGGAAGUGGACAACCAUGAAGAACCAGAGCAAGUUUCAGAGCCCGAACCACUCCCAGAGGUUGAGGUAGAGACCAUGCCUUCCCCUGCAGUAGUGGAAGAAACGCCUAUGGCAGAGCCAGAGACAGCCCUUGUGGUCGAUGCCCCCGCUGAGGAGGAGCGCACUGAGGACAUCCUGGUUACCCCUGAGGAGGCCCCUAACGGGCAUGCUGAGGACCAGCCUGGCCUGGUGGCUGUGGAAGAAGAAGAAGAAGAGGAGGAGCCCAGAGUCAACGGGGACGCGUCUCACGCUGAGACGGAGCGCAUUCCUCAGGUUAUUUGUUGCUCUGAGCCACCUGUGGUGAAGACCGAGAUGGUGACCAUCUCAGACACGUUUGCGGCCCAGAAGACUGAGAUUGCCACUAAGGAGGUUCCCAUCGUGCACACAGAGACAAAGACCAUCACUUACGAGGCUGCACAGCUGGACGGCAGUGGAGACGGUGAACCAGGCAUUCUCAUGACCGCCCAAACCAUUACUUCAGAGUCGCUGUGCACCACCACCACCACACACAUCACCAAGACAUUAAAAGGUGGUCUCUCAGAAACCAGGAUCGAGAAGCGCAUUGUCAUCACCGGAGAUUCAGACAUCGACCACGAUCAGGCCUUGGCCCAGGCUAUAAAGGAAGCCAAAGAGCAGCACCCUGACAUGUCAGUGACCCGGGUGGUGGUCCACAAAGAGACUGAGCUGGCCGAGGAGGGCGAGGACUGAGGCACCAGUCUCCCUCCUCUCUACCUACCUGGCAUGACGUGAGAGAUACCUCUCUCAUCAAAAGACUUUGAAGCAGGCGAUGGAGUACUAGCUGGUUUGGGUUUGCCCCAAGGAGAUGGUGGCUUUAAAUCCCAGUAGAGCUGAAGAGCCUGUGAAGUUCAUACAUGGAUGUUUGAGAAACUCCUGUCAUCUCCCAAACUGAGAGUCAACCUGGUGAGAAGAUGAGGUGAAGACAACCCAGAGGCUGAACUCCUGUGUCUGUUUCAUCGCACGCCUUCCUUUUUUUAUCACUCAGAAGAGAACCACUUAGCUAAUGUUUGUAGUGCGUUUUUAUUCUUAUGUGUUUUUUGCUAAUUGAAGAAAAAAAUGGCUACCAUUGUUAAAACCAGAUAGGAUUUAUCAAGUGGUAAUUUUUAUUGUUGCGCAGUAUUCACAUUCCUAGUAUGUACAGACAGCUGGUGUUAUGAGAAAGUACAUUUCAAUAUCUAGCUUCCUGGAUUCUUGCAUCUGUAUGUGGACAGGAAGUAAGACUAGGUGGAUAUUAGCUUUGGACCUAGUCUUGUUCUAUGUUCUUAGAGCCAGAUGUUUGUCAGUUUUUUUUGGGGGGGGGGGGAACAGAAGAACAGCAAAUUAAUUUAAUUGGGGUAGUUUCCAAGGGACCAGCAAAGGGUGAAGCACUGUGUCAUUUUGUACAUUGCAAUACAGUGCCAACGCGUGUUCUUCUCUAUGCAUUCAAAACUGAAGCAUUCCAUUAACGUGCAGGUGCUUUUCCAAUAACUCACUCAGAAAAAAAAAAUGUAAAAUUAAAAGCUUGGACACUUUCUUUUUUUUCUGUGACUUUCUGGCAUCAUUACUCAUAAAUAUAUUUGUAGAAUUUUUGGGGGGGUCUUUUAAACUUGUUUUUUGUGUAUUUAUCUGUAAACUGAUUUACUGUAGAUGUUGAUGAGGUGUGUUUGCCCCUUUUAAAAAAUAUAUUUUUAAUAUAUUUCAGAGGUUUUUUGACAGCUAAAAGAAACACAGUUGCCACCAUUUUAACAUUUUACCUGUAGAUUAGAGAUGGCUGCCUAGUGCUCUCUGCAGUCUGACCAACCCCACCAAGUCCAAUGACGGCAUCAAUUAGCUCUUUGGACCAUGUGUAUAGCAGAUCAUCUUAGAUAUUCAGCAGCUUAAAUUGUUUUCCCCCUCUCCACCACAGCCACCUAACCCUCUGUGUAACACUGAAAUAAACAUUUGUUAUUCUCUAA